rnacentral:rRNA from 1 species
GAUGAACGCUGGCGGCGUGCCUAAUACAUGCAAGUCGAGCGAACGGACGAGAAGCUUGCUUCUCUGAUGUUAGCGGCGGACGGGUGAGUAACACGUGGAUAACCUACCUAUAAGACUGGGAUAACUUCGGGAAACCGGCGCUAAUACCGGAUAAUAUUUUGAACCGCAUGGUUCAAAAGUGAAAGACGGUCUUGCUGUCACUUAUAGAUGGAUCCGCGCUGCAUUAGCUAGUUGGUAAGGUAACGGCUUACCAAGGCAACGAUGCAUAGCCGACCUGAGAGGGUGAUCGGCCACACGAGAACUGAGACACGGUCCAGACUCCUACGGGAGGCAGCAGCAGGGAAUCUUCCGCAAUGGGCGAAAGCCUGACGGAGCAACGCCGCGUGAGUGAUGAAGGUCUUCGGAUCGUAAAACUCUGUUAUUAGGGAAGAACAUAUGUGUAAGUAACUGUGCACAUCUUGACGGUACCUAAUCAGAAAGCCACGGCUAACUACGUG